CUUUGCAUUCAGAACAGUUGAUGCCACCCUGAAACUCUCUAGAUACAGAAAGAUGUUUUUACCACUCAUUGGUUUGAGUUGAUAUCAUGCUCUAAAUUAACAGAAGUUAGUUGCAGCACCCACAUUUCAUCAUAACUGUGCAUAUGGUUUAGCUUUCAGAGAUAACAGGGAUGAGUUUUUAUUAGUAGCUAGAAAGAGGUAUUUUACUGAGACUUAGAAGACCCAGAGCUAAUGCCCUUUCAGUAAUAAGGAUUUAUGUCUUUUUGCUGUCUUGUAACUACAGUGUUAUGGUAUCCAGACUUGGGAUUAUUCCUUUGUCCUUCCUGCAAUGGCUGCAAGGGCAUGGACAGCAUGGAGAAGACACACAGCUGGUCAGAAACUAAUGCCCCCCCUCCCCAUAUAGGCCUUGAUAGUGAUGAAGGACCCUGGCAGAGAGGAGAGCGGACAAGCAUCACAUGUGUGUGGAUGAUGUCCAUGCUCACAGCCUAAAGGAACCGACAGAGACAUCUGAGCUCCAAAGCAAGUAUUUCCAGCCCAUGGGAAUGAACUCAUCUUACUGCUGUGAUCAUAAGCAGAAUGGUAGCCAGGAAAAAGCUUAAUAUCACAGCAGAAACAAGGUGCAAACUUCUCAGCAUCUCCAGAGCAGCCUGGUGGUUGUCUGCUGGGGAAAGCAGUCUCUUGGUGCCUCAGAGAGGAGGUAAAGCCUGCAGCCCCAGUGAUGACCUGAGCCUAGUGAUAAGCCUUGUUUAGCACUGCACCAUAGCUGAGCCCUUUCCAUUGCUCAGAGCCCUGGCAAGCCCAUCUGUCUGUUCCUGCAGCCACUGGGUUUGCUAAAUCAGCCGGGACUUCUCCCUAUAGGUUCCCACUUAGCUUCUUCUGUGACCCAGACUGUUUUCUCUCCCCUGCUUUGCAGAGCAAUCCCACCUCUCCCAAUAAUGUCUCUUCUCCCUGCAAUGUUUUCAGAAAUGUACAUGAGCUGUCCCAUUACCUCACACCAGGGUAAGGGAAGUUGGAGUACAGAGGUCAAUAGACUGGGAUCUCUUUCUGCCCAAACUGGUUCACCUGGGUGCUGGUUCCCAGCCAGCCUUCCUGUGUGGUGGGAAAGGGACAAAGUGAGAAGGAAAAGCAGGAGAAAUUGGGAGCAGCAAGGCUUGUUCUGAAAGAAUUAGGGAAGAAUGGCUCCAGGCAAGGAGGGUGCUGUGGGCUUUGUUAUCUGUUCCUGGGAACUGGGGUGAAGGAUAGCUGAUGGACAGCCUUCCCUCCCCCCUCUGGGUGCUCCCCAUUCCCAGGACAACUUUAAAGCACUGAGCAUCCAAUGAAGAGGGAAGAGGUGGAUUAGGAGAAAGAGGGACCAAGGAGCCAAUUGGCAGGAGGAAGGUUAGCACCUAGCACCUAGCACUCCUCCUUCCAUGUGGAACAGCUCGCUAUCGAGUUCUGGUCUUCCACUGCUAUGCUCAUUGGUCACAGAAGAUCUUGAGUUGGAAGGGACCCAUAGGGAUCAUUGAGUGCACCUGUUACCUGUAUUUUCUACAGGAAAACUUUCCAGCUGGCUAGCAAGAAGGCUAGCCAUCUCCCCUGCAGGACCCUCGUCUCUGAUGGAGCUCUCCCUGUGAAGCCUAGGCUUAGCCUAACACUUUUAACCACCCCUACAGCCAGCAGUUUUUUCAGAAGCCGUAUUUAUGACCACAUAUACAUUAGAUACAGAUUGCUUAAUUUGCAUAGGUGCCAGACACAGAGAUGCACAAAACUUGGCAGGUAUGCCCAGACGCAAGGGGGGGUGAGUGUUGAAAGAGGGAGGAGACAGGGCUCAUGUUUGUGUUCCUGUGGGGAUUGCUGCUGGCAGGGAAAAAUGGGUUUAACUGGGACCCAAAAAGGUUCAGAUCAAAGCUGUGAAAGGGCUUUUAAACGCAUUCUCUUCUCCUCCUGCACUGUACCAGCACUCUCUUAUGCUUUGCUUUAAGCAAAAACUUUCGCUGUGGUCAAAUUACUAUGCAUGUGAAGAAGCUGCCAACACGAGGCAGCUACAGAAGGUUUGGCAAAUCAGCUAAGUAUGAGACAUCCUGGUGGAACCCUGUCAGGUUUAGCAGCGAUGGCUACACAUUGUCUACCUCCGGUCUCCCACACCUCACAGUCAGGGCUUAUUGCCUCUGCACCAGCAGUGGCCAAAGCAGGGGUUUGCUGCUUCCACCCGUGCAGUCCACAAGCCAGACUCGGCAGAGAAAUUACCCUUAUCAGCACCUGCUCGUUUCCCCUGCUGCUGGGACAGACGGCAUUGGAAGAGGGUUACAGCAGACACAGGGGAGGCUUUGGACCACUCUUACCCUGAAAGCUGAGUAAUACUAAUAUGCAACAAUCUCAAAUAUGGUCACAGCGCAUCUUAAACUGCCUACACCUCAUGGAAAAAUCUGAUGGAUGCCUUACUUAGAAAUGCUUUGGUUUAGAAAAGAUGAUAAUGACCCUGCAGUUGUCUUUCAGUGCAGAACAGCAUAUACAUUUGAAACUUACUGGGAAAAAACACCACACAGAUUUCCAUGAGUAACUGGAAAGCUGAGGAAGAAAACCAGUGAAAGAUGUGUUGUAGCAACAUACAGAAUAAAACAAACAACUAGCACUUUAUACACUACAGGAAAGUGGAUCUAAAUUCAAUGUCACCUGCUCUAGCUGAAAUGAUGCUUUAUCUUACUUUGGUUUUAAGGAGAUUAUAUUUGAGCUAUUAAAAAAAGAAUCCCAAAAUAAGCAAACCCACUCUUUCAUUGGAAAUUUUCUCAUUGUUCCUUGCUUCAAAAGGAUCCAGGAAAUGGUGGAUGUAUACAUACCACAAAUCAAAGUCAAGAGCAUGAUUAAUUGGCUACCUGACCUUUCCCAGGGAGAUACAGCAAGGAGAGCUGGAGAGGGCCAGCACAGGAAAGGAGGGCUGUGCAGUUCCAUGGGGUUCUUCCUAGCUGGGGCAAGAAUUUAAUUCAUGCAUCUUUCCAAAUAAUUUCAGAACUGUAUAUUUUCCAGUCUGCUAAUGCUUAAGGGUUCACCUACGUGCUGGUUUUGGGAUUAACUGAACUGUAGAUCAGUUCAGAAAGAGGUGAUAAUAUGGGUAUAAGCUAUAGUGAUAAAAGCACCAUUAGCUUGAUAGAACUGUAUUCACUCUAACGGAGCAUGAAGUAAUUUUAUUUGUAAAUUAAAACAUUACAAAAAUAUGCUUAAAUCAUCCCUGAGAGCAAAGAUAACAGAUGAGUGAGCUAUAUUGCAAAAGAUGGUUGGAAUACUUUAGUGUUAAUAGUGCUAAUGUUGGUACUUUAGAAUAAUCUGCAUUGUAAAUUAAAAAUUUAUUUUACUUGUGAUUAGUUUGUCUUCAACUCCCUUGUCAAUGUGUGGCUGCUUAACAGUAAUUAAACUGCACCCUAUGAAAUGCAUUUAUCCAAGAUGGUUUCUUAGAAAACAUAGCUUCCCAUGAAUUGCUUUAGCCCACUUGGUGUUGCAGGUUGGGACUCAUCUGCCUCACCAGAGUAAGGAGAACAAUUUAAAUCAUUUCACUUAAGG